GAACCCAUUCCGAACUCAGAAGUCAAGCCCUUCAUCGCCGAUGGUACUGCACACAAGAGUGUGGGAGAGUAGGUCGCCGCCAGGC
rnacentral:rRNA from 1 species